AAUGAACGCUGGCGGCGUGCUUAACACAUGCAAGUCGAACGAGGCUGAGGGGGCAACUCCUCAGUUUAGUGGCGGACGGGUGAGUAACACGUGGGUAACCUGCCCGGAAGUGGGGAACGCCUCGGGGAAACUCGAGCUAAUACCGCAUGACAUCUUCGGGACGAAAGUCCUGACGAUCAAAGCGGGGUCGCAAGAUCUCGCGCUACCGGAUGGGCCCGCGCCCGAUUAGCUAGUUGGUGAGGUAACGGCUCACCAAGGCUUCGAUCGGUAACCGGCCUGAGAGGGCGAUCGGUCACACCGGAACUGAGACACGGUCCGGACUCCUACGGGAGGCAGCAGUGGGGAAUCUUGCGCAAUGGGCGAAAGCCUGACGCAGCAAACGCCGCGUGGAGGAUGAAGGCCCUUGGGUUGUAAACUCCUGUCGGCUGGGAAGAAAUCUUUCGGGGUUAAUACCCCCGGGAGUUGACUGUACCCAGCAAAGGAAGCCCCGGCUAACUCUGUGCCAGCCGCCGCAGCAAG
rnacentral:rRNA from 1 species